rnacentral:rRNA from 1 species
AGGACGAACGCUUGCGACGUGCCUAAGAAAUGCAAGUCGAACGGACAGUAGCAAUACUGUUAGUGGCGAACGGUCGCGUAACACGUGGGCAACCUGCCCCGAAGCGGGGGACAACAAUUCGAAAGGAUUGCUAAAUACCGCAUGUGAAUCGUAGUGGCAUCACUAAGGAUUCAAAGCCGCAAGGCACUUCGGGAUGGGCCCGCGGCCUAUCAGCUAGUUGGAGAGGUAACGGCUCACCAAGGCUUCGACGGGUAGCUGGUCUGAGAGGACGAUCAGCCGGAUUGGGACUGAGAUACGGCCCAGACUCUACGGGGGCAGCAAUUAGGAAUCUUGCGCAAUGGGCGAAAGCCUGACGCAGCGACGUCGCGUGAAGGAUGAAAUCUUUCGGGAUGUAAACUUCUUUUACCAGGUAAGAAUUUUGACGGUUACCUGGUGAAUAAGCCCGGCUAACUACGUGCCAGCAGCCGC